AUGCAGUCGAACGGCAGCACGGGAGCAAUCCUGGUGGCGAGUGGCGAACGGGUGAGUAAUGUAUCGGAACGUACCUUUCAGUGGGGGAUAACGUAGCGAAAGUUACGCUAAUACCGCAUAUUCUGUGAGCAGGAAAGCAGGGGAUCGCAAGACCUUGCGCUGAUUGAGCGGCCGAUAUCAGAUUAGCUAGUUGGUGAGGUAAAGGCUCACCAAGGCGACGAUCUGUAGCGGGUCUGAGAGGAUGAUCCGCCACACUGGAACUGAGACACGGUCCAGACUCCUACGGGAGGCAGCAGUGGGGAAUUUUGGACAAUGGGGGCAACCCUGAUCCAGCCAUGCCGCGUGAGUGAAGAAGGCCUUCGGGUUGUAAAGCUCUUUCAGCCGGGAAGAAAUCACAUGGGUUAAUACCCUGUGUGGAUGACGGUACCGGAAUAAGAAGCACCGGCUAACUACGUGCCAGCAGCCGCGGUAAUACGUAGGGUGCGAGCGUUAAUCGGAAUUACUGGGCGUAAAGCGUGCGCAGGCGGUUUGUUAAGAUAGGCGUGAAAUCCCCGGGCUCAACCUGGGAACUGCGUUUAUGACUGGCAGGCUAGAGUAUGGCAGAGGGGGGUGGAAUUCCACGUGUAGCAGUGAAAUGCGUAGAGAUGUGGAGGAACACCGAUGGCGAAGGCAGCCCCCUGGGCCAAUACUGACGCUCAUGCACGAAAGCGUGGGUAGCAAACAGGAUUAGAUACCCUGGUAGUCCACGCCCUAAACGAUGUCAACUAGGUGUUGGGUGGGUAAAACCAUUUAGUACCGGAGCUAACGCGUGAAGUUGACCGCCUGGGGAGUACGGCCGCAAGGUUAAAACUCAAAGGAAUUGACGGGGACCCGCACAAGCGGUGGAUGAUGUGGAUUAAUUCGAUGCAACGCGAAAAACCUUACCUACCCUUGACAUGUCCAGAAGCUCUUAGAGAUUUGAGUGUGCCCGAAAGGGAACUGGAACACAGGUGCUGCAUGGCUGUCGUCAGCUCGUGUCGUGAGAUGUUGGGUUAAGUCCCGCAACGAGCGCAACCCUUGUCGUUAAUUGCCAUCAUUUAGUUGGGCACUUUAACGAGACUGCCGGUGACAAACCGGAGGAAGGUGGGGAUGACGUCAAGUCCUCAUGGCCCUUAUGGGUAGGGCUUCACACGUCAUACAAUGGUCGGUACAAAGGGUUGCCAACCCGCGAGGGGGAGCUAAUCCCAGAAAGCCGAUCGUAGUCCGGAUCGUAGGCUGCAACUCGCCUGCGUGAAGUCGGAAUCGCUAGUAAUCG
rnacentral:rRNA from 1 species